UAAUCUCAGUUGGUAAUUCAGA
rnacentral:miRNA from 1 species